AUUGAACGCUGGCGGCAUGCUUUACACAUGCAAGUCGAACGGCAGCGCGGGCUUCGGCCUGGCGGCGAGUGGCGAACGGGUGAGUAAUAUAUCGGAACGUACCCAGGAGUGGGGGAUAACGUAGCGAAAGUUAGGCUAAUACCGCAUACGAUCUACGGAUGAAAGCAGGGGAUCGCAAGACCUUGUGCUUCUGGAGCGGCCGAGAUCUGAUUAGCUAGUUGGUGAGGUGAGGGCUCACCAAGGCGACGAUCAGUAGCAGGUCUGAGAGGACGACCAGCCACACUGGAACUGAGACACGGUCCAGACUACUACGGGAGGGAGCAGUGGGGAAUUUUGGAUAAUGGGGGCAACCCUGAUCCAGCAAUGCCGCGUGAGUGAAGAAGGCCUUCGGGUUGUAAAGCUCUUUUGUCAGGGAAGAAACGGGAGUGGCUAAUAUCCAUUCCUAAUGACGGUACCUGAAGAAUAAGCACCGGCUAACUACGUGCCAGCCGCCGCCGUAAUAC
rnacentral:rRNA from 1 species